GGUCCUACGGGAGGCAGCAGUGGGGAAUAUUGGACAAUGGGGGAAACCCUGAUCCAGCGACGCCGCGUGAGUGAAGAAGUAUUUCGGUACGUAAAGCUCUAUCAGCAGGAAAGAAAAUGACGGUACCUGACUAAGAAGCCCCGGCUAACUACGUGCCAGCAGCCGCGGUAAUACGUCGGGGGCAAGCGUUAUCCGGAUUUACCGGGUGUAAAGGGAGCGUAGACGGCAGCGCAAGUCUGGAGUGAAAUGCCGGGGCCCAACCCCGGAACUGCUCUGGCAACUGCGAAGCUGGAGUGCAGCGGAGG
rnacentral:rRNA from 1 species